rnacentral:rRNA from 1 species
GCCUAUGGCCAUACCAGUCUGAAAGUGCCUGAUCUCGUCAGAUCUCAGAAGUCAUGCAGACUUGGGCCUGUUUAGUACUUGUAUGGGAGACCAACUAGGAACCUCAGGUGCUGAAAGCA